rnacentral:rRNA from 1 species
UACGAAGGGGGCUAGCGUUGCUCGGAAUCACUGGGCGUAAAGGGUGCGUAGGCGGGUCUUUAAGUCAGGGGUGAAAUCCUGGAGCUCAACUCCAGAACUGCCUUUGAUACUGAAGAUCUUGAGUUCGGGAGAGGUGAGUGGAACUGCGAGUGUAGAGGUGAAAUUCGUAGAUAUUCGCAAGAACACCAGUGGCGAAGGCGGCCAACUGGUCCGAAACUGACGCUGAGGCGCGAAAGCGUGGGGAGCAAACAGG